GNUAGAANUUAAUAACUGCUAGUCUGUUAUCACANAAGAAGCACUGGAUUUACGGGAGGCAGCAGCCGCGGUAAUACUAAAGGUGCAAGCGUUAAUCGGAAUUACUGGGCGUAAAGCGCGCGUAGGUGGUUUGUUAAGUUGGAUGUGAAAGCCCAGGGCUCAACCUUGGAACUGCAUUCAAAACUGACUCACUAGAGUACGAGAGAGGUUAGUGGAAUUUCCUGUGUAGCGGUGAAAUGCGUAGAGAUGGGAAGGAACACCAGUGGCGAAGGCGACUGACUCGCUCGAAACUGACAGUAAGGUGCGAAAGCGUAAGGAACGGAAAUNAACUGGAAGCAACUGNCAUGAACCCAAAGGAANUUACGUAAACUCGAAGGNAUNNCGGANACUCAAAGAAUGACGGAAAUCAAAGGAAUG
rnacentral:rRNA from 1 species